UACGGAGGGGGCAAACGUUGCUCGGAAUCAUUGGGCGUAAAGCGCACGUAGGUGGCUUGUUAAGUCGGGUGUGAAAUCCCUGGGCUCAACCCAGGAAGUGCACUCGAAACUGGCGAGCUUGAGUACUGAAGAGGGUCGCGGAAUUCCCGGUGUAGAGGUGAAAUUCGUAGAUAUCGGGAGGAACACCAGUGGCGAAGGCGGCAACCUGGGCAGAUACUGACACUGAGGUGCGAAAGCGUGGGGAGCAAACAGG
rnacentral:rRNA from 1 species